CCUACGGGAGGCAGCAGUGAGGAAUAUUGGUCAAUGGUCGGGAGACUGAACCAGCCAAGCCGCGUGAGGGAUGAAGGUACAGAGUAUCGUAAACCUCUUUUGUCAGGGAACAAAGGCGGGGACGUGUCCCCGGAUGAGUGUACCUGAAGAAAAAGCAUCGGCUAACUCCGUGCCAGCAACCGCGGUAAUACGGAGGAUGCGAGCGUUAUCCGGAUUCAUUGGGUUUAAAGGGUGCGCAGGCGGGCCUUUAAGCCGGCGGUGGAAUCGCGGGGGUCAAACCCGCCGAG
rnacentral:rRNA from 1 species